AUUGAACGCUGGCGGCAUGCCUUACACAUGCAAGUCGAACGGCAGCGGGGGAGAAGCUUGCUUUUCCUGCCGGCGAGUGGCGAACGGGUGAGUAAUACAUCGGAACGUGCCCUGUAGUGGGGGAUAACUAGUCGAAAGAUUAGCUACUACCGCAUACGCGCCGGGGGUGAAAGCGGGGGACUGCAAGGCCUCACGCGAUAGGAGCGGCCGAUGUCGGAUUAUCUAGUUGGUGGGGUAAAGGCCUACCAAGGCGACGAUCAGUAGCUGGUCUUAGAGGACGAUCAGCCACACUGGGACUGAGACACGGCCCAGACUCCUACGGGAGGCAGCAGUGGGGAAUUUUGGACAAUGGGCGAAAGCCUGAUCCAGCAAUGCCGCGUGUGUGAAGAAGGCCUUCGGGUUGUAAAGCACUUUUGUCCGGAAAGAAAUGGCUCUGGUUAAUACCUGGGGUCGAUGACGGUACCGGAAGAAUAAGGACCGGCUAACUACGUGCCAGCAGCCGCAGUAACAC
rnacentral:rRNA from 1 species